rnacentral:rRNA from 1 species
AUGGAUGGCCUCGAGUUCUUCUUUGAGGAAGCAGAAUCAGGAUUGGUUCCUAAAGCUCAUGCGGGAGAUUUAUUGGGUGGAGGAAUCGAUGUUGUGGAGUCUGUGGUUGCUUCCAUCCAUGAAGGUCACGGGUGCUCCUCUGGUGUGAUUUCUUCUGAGCCGAUGGAUGACAGCAGCGCCAAAGAGCAGUUCCGAGUGGUGGGCGUGAAUUUCGGCUCAUACAACAACGGUGGGAGCGAAGUGGUUGGCGACUCGAACGAUAUGGCGGCUGAGGAAACUUCCUAUGCGUCAAUGGGAGAUGAGGGAGAUGCAGAGGGGGUCGUCGUCAACAAAUCAAAGGCCUCGUGUUGGACUCGACGGUAA